UAACGCGAAGAACCUUACCUGGGCUUGACAUGUGCCUGACCGCCCUGGAAACAGGGUUUCCCUUCGGGGCAGGUUCACAGGUGGUGCAUGGCUGUCGUCAGCUCGUGUCGUGAGAUGUUGGGUUAAGUCCCGCAACGAGCGCAACCCCCGUCGCAUGUUGCCAGCAUUUAGUUGGGGACUCAUGCGAGACUGCCGGUGACAAACCGGAGGAAGGUGGGGAUGACGUCAAGUCAUCAUGCCCCUUAUGUCCAGGGCUACACACGUGCUACAUUGGCGCAUACAAAGGGCUGCGAUACCGUGAGGUGGAGCGAAUCCCAAAAAGUGCGUCUCGGUUCGGAUUGGAGGCUGAAACUCGCCUCCAUGAAGGCGGAGUUGCUAGUAAUCCCGGAUCAGCAACGCCGGGGUGAAUACGUUCCCGGGUCUUGUACACACCGA
rnacentral:rRNA from 1 species